rnacentral:rRNA from 1 species
UACGGAGGGUGCAAGCGUUAUCCGGAUUUACUGGGUUUAAAGGGUGCGUAGGCGGGCCUUUAAGUCAGUGGUGAAAUCUCCCCGCUCAACGGGGAAACUGCCAUUAUACUAUUGGUCUUGAAUUUAGUUGAGGUGGGCGGAAUGUGUCGUGUAGCGGUGAAAUGCUUAGAUAUGACACAGAACACCGAUUGCGAAGGCAGCUCGCUAAACUAAUAUUGACGCUGAGGCACGAAAGCGUGGGGAUCAAACAGG